CCCUUAGAUGUUCUGGGCUGCACGCGCGCUACACUGAUGCGCUCAACGAGUUUACGAACUUGCCCGGAAGGGUUGGUUAAUCUUUUUAAAACGCAUCGUGAUGGGGAUAGAUUAUUGCAAUUAUUAAUCUUCAACGAGGAAUUCCUAGUAAGCGCGAGUCAUCAGCUCGCACUGAUUACGUCCCUGCCCUUUGUACACACCGCCCGUCGCACCUACCGAUUGAAUGGUCCGGUGAAGCCUCCGGAUUGGCGCGCACCUCGGUGCCGCCGAGAAGUUGGCUAAACCUUACCAUUUAGAGGAAGGUGAAGUCGUAACA
rnacentral:rRNA from 1 species